AAAGAGAUGGCUGAGUGGUUGAAAGCAAUAGACUGUAAAUCUAUUAUAACUAAAAGUAUCUCAUAGGUUCGAAUCCUAUUCUCUUUA
rnacentral:tRNA from 1 species